rnacentral:rRNA from 1 species
GAUGAACGCUGGCGGCGUGCUUAACACAUGCAAGUCGAACGGUGAACGAGGGAGCUUGCUCCCUCCGGAUCAGUGGCGAACGGGUGAGUAACACGUGAGCAAUCUGCCCUGGACUCUGGGAUAAGCGUUGGAAACGACGUCUAAUACCGGAUACGAGGCGUGGGGGCAUCCCCAACGCCUGGAAAGAACUUCGGUCCAGGAUGAGCUCGCGGCCUAUCGGCUAGUUGGUGAGGUAACGGCUCACCAAGGCGACGACGGGUAGCCGGCCUGAGAGGGUGACCGGCCACACUGGGACUGAGACACGGCCCAGACUCCUACGGGAGGCAGCAGUGGGGAAUAUUGCACAAUGGGCGCAAGCCUGAUGCAGCAACGCCGCGUGAGGGACGACGGCCUUCGGGUUGUAAACCUCUUUUAGCAGGGAAGAAGCGAAAGUGACGGUACCUGCAGAAAAAGCACCGGCUAACUACGUGCCAGCAGCCGCCGUAAUAC